UACGUAGGGUGCAAGCGUUAAUCGGAAUUACUGGGCGUAAAGCGUGCGCAGGCGGUUUUGUAAGACAGGUGUGAAAUCCCCGGGCUUAACCUGGGAACUGCACUUGUGACUGCAAGGCUGGAGUACGGCAGAGGGGGAUGGAAUUCCGCGUGUAGCAGUGAAAUGCGUAGAUAUGCGGAGGAACACAGAUGGCGAAGGCAAUCCCCUGGGCCUGUACUGACGCUCAUGCACGAAAGCGUGGGGAGCAAAC
rnacentral:rRNA from 1 species